rnacentral:rRNA from 2 species
AGCAGCCGCGGUAAUUCCAGCUCCAAUAGCGUAUAUUAAAGUUGUUGCAGUUAAAAAGCUCGUAGUUGAACUUCAGGCCUGUCCAGACGGUCCGCCUUAAUUGGUGUGUACUGUCCUUGGGUGGGUCCUACCUUCUGGCGAAGCGGCAUGGCCUUAAUUGGUUGUGUCGGGGAACCAGGACUUUUACUGUGAAAAAAUUAGAGUGUUCAAAGCAGGCAAAUAUGCUCGAAUACAUUAGCAUGGAAUAAUGGAAUAGGACGAUGGUUCUAUUUUGUUGGUUCUAGGACCGUUGUAAUGAUUAAUAGGGAUAGUUGGGGGCAUUAGUAUUCAAUUGUCAGAGGUGAAAUUCUUGGAUUUAUUGAAGACUAACUACUGCGAAAGCAUUUGCCAAGGAUGUUUUCAUUAAUCAAGAACGAAAGUUAGGGGAUCGAAGACGAUCAGAUACCGUCG